rnacentral:lncRNA from 1 species
AGAGUGUUAUUUGAUUCUGGAGCUACCCAUUCAUUUGUAUCCCCUUAUUUUGCUAAAAAGUUAGCUAAGGAUAAGAUAUUAUGCAUAUUCCCUUAGCUAUUAGUACACCUGUAGGGGAUAGUAUAAAAGUGAAGUAUGUGUAUCCUACCUGUGUGGUAGAGAUAGAAGGUAAAACACUCCCAAUUUAUUUGAUUUUCAAUACCACACCGAGCAGAAUAUGAAGAGCAGAUACACUCACCCCUUUGAGUAAUCAGGUAAUUUACUCUUUUAAAUUCGAGGACGAAUUUUAUAUAAGGGGGGGAGGAUGUAAUAACCCCAAAAUAUUUUUUUAUAUAAAAAGGGAUAGAAUAGUCCUUUAAAAUUGAUAUAAGGGAUAAAAUUGGAAGAAAUCAAAAGUUAAUGGUAUAACAGUAGAUAUGCUGAAGUGUUAGGGGCAAAAUGGGAAUUUUUGGUGUGUGAUGUGACUUAAUUAGGAGGGUUUGGUGGCUCAGACGUGAAACAGAGAGGAGAGGG